UAUCGGGAAUACUGGGCGUAAGCGCACGCAGGCGGUUAGUUAAGCUAGAUGUGAAAGCCCUGGGCUCAACCUGGGAUGGUCAUUUAGAACUGGCUAACUAGAGUAUUGGAGAGGGGAGUGGAAUUCCAGGUGUAGCGGUGAAAUGCGUAGAUAUCUGGAGGAACACCGGUGGCGAAGGCGGCUCUCUGGCCAAGUACUGACGCUCAUGUGCGAAAGUGUGGGUAGCGAACAGGAUUAGAUACCCUGGUAGUCCACACCGUAAACGAUGUCUAUUAGCUGUGUGUGAAUUUAAUUUGUGCGUAGCGCAGCCAACGCGAUAAAUAGACCGCCUGGGGAGUACGGCCGCAAGGUUAAAACUCAAAUGAAUUGACGGGGGCCCGCACAAGCGGUGGAGCAUGUGGUUUAAUUCGAUGCAACGCGAAGAACCUUACCUACACUUGACAUGCCGAGAAUUUACCAAAGAUGGUUUAGUGCCUUCGGGAGCUCGGACACAGGUGCUGCAUGGCUGUCGUCAGCUCGUGUCGUGAGAUGUUGGGUUAAGUCCCGCAACGAGCGCAACCCUUGUCCUUAUUUGCCAGCAUUGAGUUGGGG
rnacentral:rRNA from 1 species